AUUAGGAUGGCUGAAAAAAAGCAAUAAACUGUAAAUUUAUUUAUGAAAAAUCUUUCUCCUAAUA
rnacentral:tRNA from 1 species